AAGAAGUAAACUAACCAGUGUGUCACCAGAUAUAAACGGCUGUCCCUUCAACUCAGUGUUCCGUAGCACAGUGAUUCUGUUUCCUUUGUUCCAGUGCCCGCCACCAAAGUCCUGUCUGUGUGACAAGGGGGAAAGGGGGCACCCUGGCAGCCCGGGCAAGGCGGGCGAGCGGGGGUCCGACGGAGCCCCGGGUCCCCAAGGGCCGCACGGGGAGUCCGGCAUCAAUGGGCGCCCAGGAAUGGACGGCAUUCAGGUGAGGAGAUCUAAAACUUCCACCAGCGCUGUUGAUACACGGAGCAACCGCCCGUCA
rnacentral:lncRNA from 1 species